rnacentral:rRNA from 1 species
ACGAACGCUGGCGGCGUGCUUAACACAUGCAAGUCGAACGGAAAGGCCCUGCUUUUGUGGGGUGCUCGAGUGGCGAACGGGUGAGUAACACGUGAGUAACCUGCCCUUGACUUUGGGAUAACUUCAGGAAACUGGGGCUAAUACCGGAUAGGAGCUCCUGCUGCAUGGUGGGGGUUGGAAAGUUUCGGCGGUUGGGGAUGGACUCGCGGCUUAUCAGCUUGUUGGUGGGGUAGUGGCUUACCAAGGCUUUGACGGGUAGCCGGCCUGAGAGGGUGACCGGCCACAUUGGGACUGAGAUACGGCCCAGACUCCUACGGGAGGCAACAGUGGGGAAUAUUCCACAAUGGGCGGAAGCCUGAUGCAGCAACGCCGCGUGCGGGAUGACGGCCUUCGGGUUGUAAACCGCUUUCGCCUGUGACGAAGCGUGAGUGACGGUAAUGGGUAAAGAAGCACCGGCUAACUACGU